UACGUAGGGUGCGAGCGUUGUCCGGAAUUAUUGGGCGUAAAGAGCUUGUAGGCGGUUUGUCGCGUCUGCUGUGAAAAUCCGGGGCUCAACCCCGGACUUGCAGUGGGUACGGGCAGACUGGAGUGUGGUAGGGGAGACUGGAAUUCCUGGUGUAGCGGUGAAAUGCGCAGAUAUCAGGAGGAACACCGGUGGCGAAGGCGGGUCUCUGGGCCGAUACUGACGCUGAGGAGCGAAAGCGUGGGGAGCAAACAGG
rnacentral:rRNA from 1 species